rnacentral:rRNA from 1 species
CUACGGGUGGCUCCAGUGAGGAAUAUUGCACAAUGGGGGGAACCCUGAUGCAGCAACGCCGCGUGGAGAAUGACGCAUUUCGGUGUGUAAACUCCUUUUAUAUGUCAAGAAAAUGACGGUAGCAUAUGAAUAAGCACCGGCUAACUCCGUGCCAGCAGCCGCGGUAAUACGGAGGGUGCAAGCGUUACUCGGAAUCACUGGGCGUAAAGGACGCGUAGGCGGGCUGGAAAGUCAGGUGUGAAAUCCUACAGCUUAACUGUAGAACUGCACUUGAAACUUCUAAUCUAGAGUAUGGGAGGGGGAGAUGGAAUUAGUGGUGUAGGGGUAAAAUCCGUAGAUAUCACUAGGAAUACCUAAAGCGAAGGCGAUCUCCUGGAACAUAACUGACGCUAAGGCGUGAAAGCGUGGGGAGCAAACAGGAUUAGAUACCCGGGUAGUC